UCCCCUCCUCCUCCCAUGCACCACUGCUCACGCUGCACCAGGGCCGGUUUCCUUCUCCUCGGAGUCUCAAACGACAGCAGAGCCUGACAAGCAAACAUGCUGCUGCUGGCAGCGCUUCUGGCCACAGCCGCUUGCUCUUACGGAUAUGCGCAAGAAAUUCCCAUGCAGAGCCCUAUAUCCAUCACCAAGGCUAAAGGAAGUGUACGUCUGGAAUGUGACUUUAAAUAUGUCUCUCAAAAUUUUGAUGGCCUUGUCAUACACUGGUAUCAACAGAAGGAGGGUAAAGCUCCACAGAGGCUACUGUUCUUUUCAUCAGGGACAGCUUCAUUUGACAGUGGCUUUCAAGCAAACAGGUACAUGGUUGAAAAAGUUUCUGGCCAGAAACGGUGUGUUUUUACAAUAAAAGAUGUAAUUCCAGACGAUGCUGCUACUUACUACUGCGCCUACUGGGAGGAUGUUGAUGUCAAAAUAUUUGGAAGUGGAACUAAGCUUAUUGUUUCAAGUAAGUAUGAAAUGUAAAACUUAACUACUUCUGAAAUGCUUUUCAAUACAGUUAGAUUUGCAGGAUUUUCCUCUUAAACAGCAUUUCUGUAGGCAAAGCACA